ACGAAUCUUUCCCUUAAUUUUACCCUUACCCUCACUCUCUUUCACUCUGAAAAAUUGAAAUUAAACUAAAAUACAUGUUAUUUAGUUUCUUGGCUUUCUCCUAAGAUAUAAUAUGUUUAGUAUCCCUGCACUAUGUUUUAAUUCUGUAAAAUGACAAGGGUAUUGAUGUGUCUUUUAUUGAGUCGAAUUAUAUGAACCCUUUUCUUUUGUUGCUAAACUUGGCAUUGCCUGUACUUCCA
rnacentral:misc_RNA from 1 species